rnacentral:rRNA from 1 species
UACAGGGGGUGCAAACGUUGCUCGGAAUCAUUGGGCGUAAAGCGCACGUAGGCGGUUCGUUAUGUCGGAUGUGAAAGCCCUUGGCUUAACCGAGGAAGUGCAUCCGAAACUGGCGAGCUAGAGUACGAAAGAGGAUCGCGGAAUUCCCGGUGUAGAGGUGAAAUUCGUAGAUAUCGGGAGGAACACCGGUGGCGAAGGCGGCGAUCUGGGUCGAUACUGACGCUGAGGUGCGAAA